rnacentral:tRNA from 1 species
GCCGUCGUGGUAUAAUGGAUGUGCAACACUCUUCUAAGGUGUCUUAUGCGGGUUCGAAUCCUGCCGACGGUAC